rnacentral:rRNA from 1 species
AGUGAACGCUGGCGGUAGGCCUAACACAUGCCAGUCGAACGGCAGCACAGUAAGAGCUUGCUCUUACGGGUGGCGAGUGGCGGACGGGUGAGGAAUACAUCGGAAUCUACUUUUUCGGGGGGGAUAACGUAGGGAAACUUACGCUAAUACCGCAUACGACCUACGGGUGAAAGCAGGGGAUCUUCGGACCUUGCGCGAUUGAAUGCGCCGAUGUCGGAUUAGCUAGUUGGCGGGGUAAAGGCCCACCAAGGCGACGAUCCGUAGCUGGUCUGAGAGGAUGAUACGCCACACUGGAACUGAGACACGGUCCAGACUCCUACGGGAGGCAGCAGUGGGGAAUAUUGGACAAUGGGCGCAAGCCUGAUCCAGCCAUACCGCGUGGGUGAAGAAGGCCUUCGGGUUGUAAAGCCCUUUUGUUGGGAAAGAAAAGCAGCAGGUUAAUACCCCGCUGUUCUGACGGUACCCAAUGAAUAAGCACCGGCUAACUUCGUG